rnacentral:rRNA from 1 species
UACGGGGGGGGCAAGCGUUGUUCGGAAUUACUGGGCGUAAAGGGCUCGUAGGCGGCCAACUAAGUCAUACGUGAAAUCCCUCGGCUUAACCGGGGAACUGCGUCUGAUACUGGAUGGCUUGAGUUCGGGAGAGGGAUGCGGAAUUCCAGGUGUAGCGGUGACAUGCGUAGAUAUCUGGAGGAACACCGGUGGCGAAGGCGGCAUCCUGGACCGAUACUGACGCUGAGGAGCGAAAGCCAGGGGAGCAAACGGG